rnacentral:rRNA from 1 species
AGAAUCAACGCUGGCGGCGUGCCUAACACAUGCAAGUCGCACGAGAAAGGGUAGCAAUACCUGAGUAAAGUGGCGCACGGGUGAGUAACACGUGACUAAUCUACCCUCGAGUGGGGAAUAACUGAGAGAAAUCUUAGCUAAUACCGCAUAACACUUACGAGUCAAAGCAGCAAUGCGCUUGGGGAGGAGGUCGCGGCCGAUUAGCUAGUUGGCGGGGUAAUGGCCCACCAAGGCGAUGAUCGGUAUCCGGCCUGAGAGGGCGCACGGACACACUGGAACUGAAACACGGUCCAGACUCCUACGGGAGGCAGCAGUGGGGAAUUUUGCGCAAUGGGGGAAACCCUGACGCAGCAACGCCGCGUGGAGGAUGAAAUAUCUUGGUAUGUAAACUCCUUUCGAUGGGAAGAUUAUGACGGUACCCAUAGAAGAAGCCCGGCUAACUUCGUGCCAGCAGCCGC